AGAUUGAACGCUGGCGGCAGGCCUAACACAUGCAAGUCGAGCGGCAGCACGGGUACUUGUACCUGGUGGCGAGCGGCGGACGGGUGAGUAAUGCCUAGGAAUCUGCCUGGUAGUGGGGGAUAACGCUCGGAAACGGACGCUAAUACCGCAUACGUCCUACGGGAGAAAGCAGGGGACCUUCGGGCCUUGCGCUAUCAGAUGAGCCUAGGUCGGAUUAGCUAGUUGGUGAGGUAAUGGCUCACCAAGGCGACGAUCCGUAACUGGUCUGAGAGGAUGAUCAGUCACACUGGAACUGAGACACAGUCCAGACUCCUACGGGAGGCAGCAGUGGGAAUAUUGGACAAGUGGGCGAAAAGCCUGAUCCAGCCAUGCCGCGUGUGUGAAGAAGGUCUUCGGAUUGUAAAGCAACUUUAAGUUGGAGGAAGGCAGUUACCUAAUACGUAUCUUGUUUGACGUUACCGACAGAAUAAGCAACCGGCUAACUCUGUG
rnacentral:rRNA from 1 species